GCACAAACUCCUUUACAGCCUAACCCGAGACACUGCAAAAGUAGACUGAUUUUUACAAGCUUGUGCCUCAAAAGGAGACCAUGAGAAGAGACACAGAACGAAAAACAGCAGCAUGAUAGCCCACAGAAUACCUUUUGAAAGCUCCAGAGUGACGGCAGCAGGUUGGAUAUAAUGAACAGUGUUACAAAUGGGGACACGAGACGACAGGUUUGGUGAAGAAGGAGUCUCCUGGAAACUGU